CCUACGGGUGGCAGCAGUGAGGAAUAUUGGUCAAUGGACGCAAGUCUGAACCAGCCAUGCCGCGUGCAGGAAGACGGCCCUAUGAGUUGUAAACUGCUUUUGUACGAGGGUAAACGCAGAUACGAGUACCCUCCUGUAAGUACCGUACGAAUAAGGAUCGGCUAACUCCGUUCCAGCAGCCGCGGUAAUACGGAGGAUUCAAGCGUUAUCCGGAUUUAUUGGGGUUAAAGGGUGCGUAGGCGGUCGGAUAAGUCAGUGGUGAAAUCACGGGGCUCAACUUCGGAAUUGCAUCUGAUACUGGUAGGCUAGAGAGUAGUAGCGGUGGGCGGAAUGUAUGGUGUAGCGGUGAAAUGCUUAGAGAUCAUACAGAACACCGAUGGCGAAGGCAGCUUACCGGGCUACUACUGACGUUGAGGCGCGAAAGCGUGGGGAGCAAACAGGAUUAGAUACCCCAGUAGUC
rnacentral:rRNA from 1 species